GAAACCAGGUGAUCUAGCCAUGGGCAGGUUGAAGGUUGAGUAACAUCAACUGGAGGACCGAACCGACUAAUGUUGAAAAAUUAGCGGAUGACUUGUGGCUAGGGGUGAAAGGCCAAUCAAACCUGGAGAUAGCUGGUUCUCCCCGAAAGCUAUUUAGGUAGCGCCUCGGACGAAUACUACUGGGGGUAGAGCACUGUUAAGGCUAGGGGGUCAUCCCGACUUACCAACCCUUUGCAAACUCCGAAUACCAGUAAGUACUAUCCGGGAGACACACGGCGGGUGCUAACGUCCGUCGUGGAGAGGGAAACAACCCAGACCGCCAGCUAAGGUCCCAAAUUACUACUAAGUGGGAAACGAUGUGGGAAGGCUCAGACAGCCAGGAUGUUGGCUUAGAAGCAGCCAUCAUUUAAAGAAAGCGUAAUAGCUCACUGGUCGAGUCGGCCUGCGCGGAAGAUGUAACGGGGCUAAGUAGUAAACCGAAGCUGCGGCAAUAUACUUUUGUAUAUUGGGUAGGGGAGCGUUCUGUAAGCGGUUGAAGGUGUGUGGUAACGCAUGCUGGACGUAUCAGAAGUGCGAAUGCUGACAUGAGUAACGAUAAAGGGGGUGAAAAACCUCCUCGCCGGAAGACCAAGGGUUCCUGUCCAACGUUAAUCGGGGCAGGGUAAGUCGACCCCUAAGGCGAGGCCGAAAGGCGUAGUCGAUGGGAAACGGGUUAAUAUUCCCGUACUUCUUACAAUUGCGAUGGGGGGACGGAGAAGGCUAGGUGGGCCUGGCGACGGUUGUCCAGGUUCAAGUGCGUAGGCUGAGAGAUUAGGUAAAUCCGGUUUCUCUUAAGGCUGAGACACGACGUCGAGCACCUACGGGUGUGAAGUCAUUGAUGCCAUGCUUCCAGGAAAAGCCUCUAAGCUUCAGAUUGUAAGGAAUCGUACCCCAAACCGACACAGGUGGUCGGGUAGAGAAUACCAAGGCGCUUGAGAGAACUCGGGUGAAGGAACUAGGCAAAAUGGUACCGUAACUUCGGGAGAAGGUACGCUCUCGACGGUGAAGUCCCUUGCGGAUGGAGCUAUUGAGAGUCGCAGAUACCAGGUGGCUGCAACUGUUUAUUAAAAACACAGCACUGUGCAAAAUCGUAAGAUGACGUAUACGGUGUGACGCCUGCCCGGUGCCGGAAGGUUAAUUGAUGGGGUUAGACUUCGGUCGAAGCUCUUGAUCGAAGCCCCGGUAAACGGCGGCCGUAACUAUAACGGUCCUAAGGUAGCGAAAUUCCUUGUCGGGUAAGUUCCGACCUGCACGAAUGGCGUAAUGAUGGCCACGCUGUCUCCACCCGAGACUCAGUGAAAUUGAAAUCGCUGUGAAGAUGCAGUGUACCCGCGGCUAGACGGAAAGACCCCGUGAACCUUUACUACAGCUUGGCACUGAACAUUGACCCUACAUGUGUAGGAUAGGUGGGAGGCUUUGAAGCACGUACGCCAGUAUGUGUGGAGCCGUCCUUGAAAUACCACCCUUGUAGUGUUGAUGUUCUAACGUCGACCCCUAAUCGGGGUUGCGGACAGUGCCUGGUGGGUAGUUUGACUGGGGCGGUCUCCUCCCAAAGAGUAACGGAGGAGCACGAAGGUGGGCUAAUCACGGUUGGACAUCGUGAGGUUAGUGCAAUGGCAUAAGCCCGCUUGACUGCGAGAAUGACAAUUCGAGCAGGUGCGAAAGCAGGUCAUAGUGAUCCGGUGGUUCUGAAUGGAAGGGCCAUCGCUCAACGGAUAAAAGGUACUCCGGGGAUAACAGGCUGAUACCGCCCAAGAGUUCAUAUCGACGGCGGUGUUUGGCACCUCGAUGUCGGCUCAUCACAUCCUGGGGCUGAAGUCGGUCCCAAGGGUAUGGCUGUUCGCCAUUUAAAGUGGUACGCGAGCUGGGUUUAGAACGUCGUGAGACAGUUCGGUCCCUAUCUGCCGUGGGCGUUGGAAGAUUGAAGGGGGCUGCUCCUAGUACGAGAGGACCGGAGUGGACGAACCUCUGGUGUUCGGGUUGUGUCGCCAGACGCAUUGCCCGGUAGCUAAGUUCGGAAUCGAUAACCGCUGAAAGCAUCUAAGCGGGAAGCGAGCCCUGAGAUGAGUCUUCCCUGAUACUUUAAGUAUCCUAAAGGGUUGUCGGAGACUACGACGUUGAUAGGUCAGGUGUGUAAGUGCUGUGAGGCAUUGAGCUAACUGAUACUAAUUGCCCGUGAGGCUUAACCAUACAACAC
rnacentral:rRNA from 1 species